UACAGAGGUCUCAAGCGUUUGUUCGGAAUCACUGGGCGUAAAGGGUGCGUAGGCGGCGGAGUAAGUCGGGUGUGAAAUUUGAAGGCUCAACCUUCAACUAGCACCUGAUACUACUUUGCUCGAGGCCUGAAGAGGAGCUUGGAAUUCUCGGUGUAGCAGUGAAAUGCGUAGAUAUCGAGAGGAACACCUGCGGCGAAGGCGGGUAGCUGGGCCGACACUGACGCUGAAGCGCGAAAGCCAGGGGAGCGAACGGG
rnacentral:rRNA from 1 species